UGUCCAGUAGCAACUUAGAAACCAACCAAGUUUGUUCUGGGUAGAAGAUUUUGUGUGCAUGCACACUUUUUCAAAUACCAUCUGAUGAAGUGUGCAUGCAACGAAAGCAUAUACCCAGAACAAACUUAGUUGGUGUCUAGGGUGCUACUGGACA